CAACGACUCUCGGCAACGGAUAUCUCGGCUCACGCAUCGAUGAAGAACGCAGCAAAAUGCGAUACUUGGUGUGAAUUGCAGAAUCCCGUGAACCAUCGAGUUUUUGAACGCAAGUUGCGCCCGAAGCCUUUUGGUCGAGGGCACGUCUGCCUGGGCGUCACAY
rnacentral:rRNA from 1 species